rnacentral:tRNA from 1 species
UCCCUGGGGGUCCAGUGGCUAAGAUUUUGCACUCCCAAUGCAGAGGGCUCAGGUUCCAUCCCUGGUCAGGAAA